AUUGAACGCUGGCGGCAUGCUUUACACAUGCAAGUCGAGCGGCAGCGCGGGGGCAACCCUGGCGGCGAGCGGCGAACGGGUGAGUAAUGCAUCGGAACGUAUCCUCGAGUGGGGGAUAACCCAGCGAAAGUUGGGCUAAUACCGCAUGAGCUCUGAGGAGGAAAGCGGGGGACCUGCGAGGGCCUCGCGCUGGAGGAGCGGCCGAUGUCCGAUUAGCUAGUUGGUGGGGUAAAGGCUUACCAAGGCGACGAUCGGUAGCUGGUCUGAGAGGAUGAUCAGCCACACUGGGACUGAGACACGGCCCAGACUCCUACGGGAGGCAGCAGUGGGGAAUUUUGGACAAUGGGGGCAACCCUGAUCCAGCCAUGCCGCGUGAGUGAAGAAGGCCUUCGGGUUGUAAAGCUCUUUCGUACGGAACGAAAUGGGCGGGACUAAUACUCCUGUCUGAUGACGGUACCGUAAGAAGAAGCACCGGCUAACUACGUG
rnacentral:rRNA from 1 species